rnacentral:rRNA from 1 species
UAAUACGAAGGGGGCUAGCGUUGCUCGGAAUUACUGGGCGUAAAGGGAGCGUAGGCGGACUGUUUAGUCAGAGGUGAAAGCCCAGGGCUCAACCUUGGAAUUGCCUUUGAUACUGGCAGUCUUGAGUACGGAAGAGGUAUGUGGAACUCCGAGUGUAGAGGUGAAAUUCGUAGAUAUUCGGAAGAACACCAGUGGCGAAGGCGACAUACUGGUCCGUUACUGACGCUGAGGCUCGAAAGCGUGGGGAGCAAACAGGAUUAGAUACCCUGGUAGUCCACGCCGUAAACGAUGAGUGCUAGUUGUCGGCAUGCAUGCAUGUCGGUGACGCAGCUAACGCAUUAAGCACUCCGCCUGGGGAGUACGGUCGCAAGAUUAAAACUCAAAUGAAUUGACGG